GACAGAGGUGCCAGGCGUUAGGCGGAAUCACUGGGCUUAAAGCGCGUGUAGGUGGCGGCCUAAGUACCUUGUGAAAUCCUGCGGCUCAACCGCAGAACUGCUCGGUAUACUGGGUCGCUUGAGCCAUCCAGGGGCAACUGGAACAAGCGGUGGAGCGGUGAAAUGCGUAGAUAUCGCUUGGAACGCCAAAGGUGAAAAACAGGUUGCUGGGGGAUGAGCUGACACUGAGAACGCGAAAAGCCAGGGGAGCGAACGGGG
rnacentral:rRNA from 1 species